AAAGAGAACCUGUAAACGCUUUCGGAAUUAUGGCGGCGGUGGAUAUCCGAGACAAUCUGCUGGGAAUUUCUUGGGUUGACAGCUCUUGGAUCCCUAUUUUGAACAGUGGUAGUGUCCUGGAUUACUUUUCAGAAAGAAGUAAUCCUUUUUAUGACAGAACAUGUAAUAAUGAAGUGGUCAAAAUGCAGAGGCUAACAUUAGAACACUUGAAGGCGUUUAUAGAUCUUUGGAUGUCUGUGUUCUGUUUUCAGUCAGAUGGUUGGAAUCGAGUACAUCCUUUUGCAUGCUCAAGAGCCCAUUCUUUUCAUCAUUCGGAAGCAACAGCGGCAGUCCCCUGCCCAAGUUAUCCCACUAGCUGAUUACUAUAUCAUUGCUGGAGUGAUCUAUCAGGCACCAGACUUGGGAUCAGUUAUAAACUCUAGAGUGCUUACUGCAGUGCAUGGUAUUCAGUCAGCUUUUGAUGAAGCUAUGUCAUACUGUCGAUAUCAUCCUUCCAAAGGGUAUUGGUGGCACUUCAAAGAUCAUGAAGAGCAAGAUAAAGUCAGACCUAAAGCCAAAAGGAAAGAAGAACCAAGCUCUAUUUUUCAGAGACAACGUGUGGAUGCUUUACUUUUAGACCUCAGACAAAAAUUUCCACCCAAAUUUGUGCAG
rnacentral:sRNA from 1 species